rnacentral:sRNA from 1 species
AGAAGCUGUUCGAUGGACAGAGAUGAUUCGGGCAUCACGAGAAAAUCCAGCCAUGCAGGAAAAAAAAAGGUCAAGCAUUUGGCAGUUUUUCAGCCGACUUUUCAGCUCCUCGAGUAACACGACUAAGAAGCCUGAACCACCUGUUAAUCUGAAGUACAAUGCACCCACGUCUCAUGUUACUCCAUCCGUCAAGAAAAGAAGCAGCACCUUAUCUCAGCUCCCUGGGGAUAAGUCCAAAGCCUUUGAUUUCCUUAGUGAAGAGUAAGUCUUUUCCAAGUUAAUCAUUAUAUUC